rnacentral:lncRNA from 1 species
AAGAAAUUAGGAUAAUUCUUCAAACUGGAGGUAGAGGCUAUCAAUUCGAAUAAAAUAGUGGGAGAAACCUUUUGAUUAAAGUCCAAAUCUUUAGGUUUAAUGAAUCAAUUACUAAUUAUGUUAUGAUUUUUUUUUGUGUAGAUAUGGCCACUUUUCUAUCACUCCGAUCAUUGUUGGACAAUAAAAAAUUGGUGGGAUUCAAUUUCGAUAGCUGGUAUCGAAAGUUGAAGAUAGUCCUAGAGCAUGAACGAAUCCUAUAUGUGAUAACGGAUCCUGCACCUG